rnacentral:rRNA from 1 species
CAGUCGCCGCGGUAAAACGAAGGGGGCUAGCGUUGUUCGGAAUUACUGGGCGUAAAGGGCGCGUAGGCGGCCAUUCAAGUUAGAUGUGAAAGCCCUGGGCUCAACCUAGGAAUUGCAUUUGGUACUGUUUGGCUUGAGUUCGGGAGAGGUGAGUGGAAUUCCCAGUGUAGAGGUGAAAUUCGUAGAUAUUGGGAAGAACACCGGUGGCGAAGGCGGCGACCUGGUCCUUUACUGACGCUGAGGCGCGAAAGCGUGGGGAGCAAACAGGAUUAGAUACCCCCGUAGUCCCUGUCUCUUAUAC